CCACCUGAAUGGAGCUCGCAGACCACUGGUGGUCCAUGGACCACAGUUUGAGAACCUCUGCUGUAGGGAUUAGACAUACCUAUAUUGCGGAAUAGAGAUCCUCUCUUCUCUGCAUGUGUUGUAUACCCAUUCAUGGAUUUAUUUCUCAUUUUAUGUUCUACAUUCUAGCUGGGCUCCCUUCUUCAGUAUGAAUUAGUUUUCUUAUGUAUUAUUAGCAAAUCUUCUGCUUAAUUACUGAUUUUUCAACUGCAGAAUUUAAUGUGGAUAGUAGAGUCCAAGGAACUGACCCUGACUGGAGGGAUGAGAAAAAUAUAUUUGCAAAAGUCUAAACAUGAUACCUCAAACUACUGCUUGCCCAAAAAAUUUGAUUAAAGUAAAUGGACUUCUGGAAGGUAGAGUAGAGCAGCUAAUAUUUGCUCCGAUAAUGUAAGGAUUAUUUGAAUGCUUGCAGGAAAAGAAUACCAGGCCCUACUUCAUUUCAUGACAUAUUAAUCACCAACACUCUUGAACUUUGUAUGCAGGAGGAUUUGCAAUAUGUGGAAAAAAAAUUAGUGACUAAUAAUAAUUUCAAAUUAUAUGUCUCUUUUCUUCUGGUGAUCUUGAAAUCCCCUGGAUUCGGGGGUGAGGUAAAAAGUUUGGGGACCACUGGAAUAGGAUCAGGAUUUCACCAUGUGGCAGGAAAGGAGUCAUGCUGGACGUGAUGUCAGUUGUGCAGGCAUUUGUGAUUUUACUAGCACUUUGUGACUGGCCUGGAAAGAUGAUAUCAACUCCAAUGCUACUACAGCUAAUGUCUCAAUUGAUAGAGGGCUGCUUUUGUAUCUAGUGUUUGUUUUAACACUGAUGGUAUGUGUGUACAGGCUAGUUGAUAACUAUAAUGUCUGCUACCACUGCAAUUACCCACAGUUGUUGUCCUAGACAGUCUAUAUUAAAAUAUUUCUACCUUUAAUUUUAAUUAAUCAAAGCAAAGUGCAGUCCAUAAGAACAUCUUACUAAGUUUUUUUGGAACUAAGGACUUUAGGCCCUAAUUUGUAAAACAGGUGAACAAAUAUGUAAGUCAAGUGUGGUGCACGGUGUCACAGAAUGACUGGCUCCUUUAAGGGGACAUAGUGGCCAGCCACACCUGGGCCAUAAUUAAUUAGCUUCUUGUGAGCCUCAGUGGGUAGAAUUAAGAGGGUCACAAGAUAGUUUAAUAGAUAGCUGGACCUCAUAAAAAGGCUGAGAGAGAUCAGUCUGGGAGUGGAAACACAAGGCGUGGGUAGGCUUCUGUAGAAGGCUCUAAACUAGGCUUUGGAAGAGCAGUAAUGAAAUCACAGGAAGUGGGCAAAUGCCUGUGGAAGCCUUUGAGGCAGCAACUGCUGGAGGCCGGGUACUCCAGGGGAACCAGCCUUGAGGCCCAGGGCUGUGUACUGGAACAGGGAAGGAUGCAAAGAAUGGAGCCCAGCAGAUGCUGAGAUCAGUACUCCAGGGGAAUGCGCCUGAGGUCUGUAUGCUUUAUCAAAAAUAGUCUAAAAUGGAUGUGGGAGCAGGGCUCAGAGAUAGGCUGAAGAGAAGUCCCCAAAGGGCAGAAAAACCUUUUGUUUGUUGGGCUCGACAGUUUUGUUUGCAGCUUGGUUGGAGGCUCAAGUUAUGUCUGCAGCAUGGAUCUGUGUGUGGAAAGCCAAGGAAAUCCACCUUGGGGAGGGAAAUUGAGGCGGGGAAUGCCUACAAUGCCACACUCAAAAAGCAGAUAUGUCGAAUGACAUACAAUGAUAAAUAUGAUCUGGGAUCAGGCACCACUUUUGUAAGGAUCAUCAAGGCUAAAAGCCGUGAAGAUGGAAAUAUUUUGUAGUAAAUGAGGAAAGGCAAUAGAGAGAUUGAGAAUGUUAUCAAGUGCAGAAUGGAUUAUAGUCAAAGAAGUGGAUUCAGAUGUCAUAAAAUUGGCACUGGGGACCUCAUCAGCUAAUUCAACAGCUUCAUAUAUAGUAACUGACAAAGCUUCUUGGGAUAAAACUGAACUUAUUCAGCAUCUGAAUUACAUAAGCUUCUAGGUCUCAUGCUGAUGGACUAUGUUUAAAAAUCCAUGAGGAAAAGAAAAACUAAGGAUACCUGAAAGCUAAAAGGUAUUUUUCUGUUUCUGGAACCUCUCACUGUAGUGUUUAAGAUUAAAAGAAAGUUAUAGAAACUUUUAGGUAAUAUUUAACCUGAAUCCCUUAUCUUUUCACUCAACAUUUGACU